UCUUUUCCUUUUUUUCCCUCAGCCGCGGUAAAACGUAGGUCACAAGCGUUGUCCGGAAUUACUGGGUGUAAAGGGAGCGCAGGCGGGAAGACAAGUUGGAAGUGAAAUCCAUGGGCUCAACCCAUGAACUGCUUUCAAAACUGUUUUUCUUGAGUAGUGCAGAGGUAGGCGGAAUUCCCGGUGUAGCGGUGGAAUGCGUAGAUAUCGGGAGGAACACCAGUGGCGAAGGCGGCCUACUGGGCACCAACUGACGCUGAGGCUCGAAAGUGUGGGUAGCAAACAGG
rnacentral:rRNA from 1 species